UACAUUUCACAGUGCCAGUCCACAGCUAUCAAGGCCUUUCUUGUAAUUCUAAUCUCUUUUCAAUGCGUUAUGUAACAUUACAUAAGCAACACUUUAAUUCUAGCCUGGUGAUUGGACAUCCAUUAUCACAGACCAUGCACAAAUCUAUGACCUUCGUUAUCUCUGAAAGCAUAAAAUUCUGGUUGAUGAAUGAUAAAUAGCUAAACAAUUGGACAGCAGUAAAGUACAUUCAGUACUUGGCAUGAAGUCUCCAUCAGUGACAAGGGAUUUACAGAAAGUUUCAUAUUUUAAUGCUACGAACAUGAUUAUCAUUUCAAGUUCUAUCUCUGACUGGUCAUCAACACUUUCAUUUGGCUUUAUUGGAAUGGAACGGGUGCCAAGAACUGGUGAUGGAUAGGUUAUUUUCCGAUGCAAGUCUGGUGAUGCUAUUUGGUUAACGUAUAUCUGCUCGUCUUUGUUUGUAUCUAAUGGUUUGAUGUCAGGUUGGUAAAGUCUGAAUCAUUGGUUGAUUCAAUAAACAUGGAUUGUGUUGUACGUUCAUCAUUUUCUCCAGGGAUGUGUGACAGCGCAGACUGGCUGGAGUACCGCACUGUUGAAUUUUUAAAGUCGGCAUUA